rnacentral:lncRNA from 1 species
UCUGGCAGAGCCAGAGAGCCAAGGUAGCCUGAGAAGGAGUGGCCAUCUCUGCCGAUGGAGGAUGCUGUUUAUAGAAGUGUUGUGGGUUGAACUGUGUUCCUAAAGGAUGUGACUUAUCUGGAGAAAAGGUUCUUUGCAGGUGCUAUUAUGAAAGAGAAGACCUGGGCUGGAGUGAUGACUCAGCAGUUAAGCUCAUUUGCUGUUCUGGCAUCUCCACCGUUAUUACUAUUACCACCGCCAACAUCACAUCUCCACCAUUUCUGCUUCAUCUUCACCUCCACCUCCACCACCACCACCGACCUCCCUACCACUACUACUCCCCACCCCAGCAGCAGCAGCACCUCCACUAGCCAGCUACUGCCUCGAACUGUGAGUUCACCUGUAGAACGUUGUGUCUGGUCUCCCUGUGUCAAGAUAAUUCGUUACAUCCUCAGAGAGGAAAAGGAAAUGCGGGGCAGGCUCGGACACUUGAGGUGUCUGUGUAGAAAAGCUGAGCUAAUUCAGCGCUGACUUCCGGUGCGAUCCCAGCGCUCCAGACACAACGCAAGGUGGUAAGUGAUAACGGAGCAUGCGCAUCUCGACUUUGUGGAUCUCAGCUCUGCUUAGAAGAGAGUCUCUUGGAGUCUCCUUCCGGGUCGAUUGGUUCCUAACAUCCAUUUCAGCUCCUUGCUGCUGCCUGUGCUAUUUCCUGUUUGCUUUCCCCGUUUCUCUGCCUUGCUUUUUGCU